GAUGAACGCUGGCGGCGUGCCUAAUACAUGCAAGUCGAGCGAAUGGAUUAAGAGCUUGCUCUUAUGAAGUUAGCGGCGGACGGGUGAGUAACACGUGGGUAACCUGCCCAUAAGACUGGGAUAACUCCGGGAAACCGGGGCUAAUACCGGAUAACAUUUUGAACCGCAUGGUUCGAAAUUGAAAGGCGGCUUCGGCUGUCACUUAUGGAUGGACCCGCGUCGCAUUAGCUAGUUGGUGAGGUAACGGCUCACCAAGGCAACGAUGCGUAGCCGAACGGAGAGGGUGAUCGGCCACACUGGGACUGAGACACGGCCCAGACUCCUACGGGAGGCAGCAGUAGGGAAUCUUCCGCAAUGGACGAAAGUCUGACGGAGCAACGCCGCGUGAGUGAUGAAGGCUUUCGGGUCGUAAAACUCUGUUGUUAGGGAAGAACAAGUGCUAGUUGAAUAAGCUGGCACCUUGACGGUACCUAACCAGAAAGCCACGGCUAACUACGUGCCAGCAGCCGCCGUAA
rnacentral:rRNA from 1 species